rnacentral:rRNA from 1 species
AACGGAGCUGCUUUGAUGAAGUUUUCGGAUGGAUUUAAAACAGCUUAGUGGCGGACGGGUGAGUAACGCGUGGGUAACCUGCCUCACACUGGGGGAUAACAGUUAGAAAUAGCUGCUAAUACCGCAUAAGCGCACAGUUCCGCAUGGAACAGUGUGAAAAACUCCGGUGGUGUGAGAUGGACCCGCGUCUGAUUAGCCAGUUGGCGGGGUAACGGCCCACCAAAGCGACGAUCAGUAGCCGGCCUGAGAGGGUGAACGGCCACAUUGGGACUGAGACACGGCCCAAACUCCUACGGGAGGCAGCAGUGGGGAAUAUUGCACAAUGGGGGAAACCCUGAUGCAGCGACGCCGCGUGAGUGAAGAAGUAUUUCGGUAUGUAAAGCUCUAUCAGCAGGGAAGAAAGUGACGGUACCUGAAUAAGAAGCCCCGGCUAACUACGUGCCAGCAGCCGCGGUAAUACGUAGGGGGCAAGCGUUAUCCGGAUUUACUGGGUGUAAAGGGAGCGUAGACGGCAAGGCAAGUCUGAAGUGAAAGCCCGGUGCUUAACGCCGGGACUGCUUUGGAAACUGUUUAGCUGGAGUGCCGGAGAGGUAAGCGGAAUUCCUAGUGUAGCGGUGAAAUGCGUAGAUAUUAGGAAGAACACCAGUGGCGAAGGCGGCUUACUGGACGGUAACUGACGUUGAGGCUCGAAAGCGUGGGGAGCA